rnacentral:rRNA from 1 species
GACGAACGCUGGCGGCGUGCUUAACACAUGCAAGUCGAACGGAAAGGCCCUGCUUUUGUGGGGUGCUCGAGUGGCGAACGGGUGAGUAACACGUGAGUGACCUGCCCUUGACUUUGGGAUAACUUCAGGAAACUGGGGCUAAUACCGGAUAGGAGCUCCUGCUGCAUGGUGGGGGUUGGAAAGUUUCGGCGGUUGGGGAUGGACCCGCGGCUUAUCAGCUUGUUGGUGGGGUAGUGGCUUACCAAGGCUUUGACGGGUAGCCGGCCUGAGAGGGUGACCGGCCACAUUGGGACUGAGAUACGGCCCAGACUCCUACGGGAGGCAGCAGUGGGGAAUAUUGCACAAUGGGCGGAAGCCUGAUGCAGCAACGCCGCGUGCGGGAUGACGGCCUUCGGGUUGUAAACCGCUUUCGCCUGUGACGAAGCGUGAGUGACGGUAAUGGGUAAAGAAGCACCGGCUAACUACGUG